UGACAUCCCAAUGACAUCUCCUUAAUCGGAGAGUUCCCUUCGGGGACAUUGGUGACAGGUGGUGCAUGGUUGUCGUCAGCUCGUGUCGUGAGAUGUUGGGUUAAGUCCCGCAACGAGCGCAACCCUUGUCUUUAGUUGCCAUCAUUAAGUUGGGCACUCUAGAGAGACUGCCAGGGAUAACCUGGAGGAAGGUGGGGAUGACGUCAAAUCAUCAUGCCCCUUAUGCUUAGGGCUACACACGUGCUACAAUGGGUAGUACAGAGGGUUGCCAAGCCGUAAGGUGGAGCUAAUCCCUUAAAGCUACUCUCAGUUCGGAUUGUAGGCUGAAACUCGCCUACAUGAAGCUGGAGUUACUAGUAAUCGCAGAUCAGAAUGCUGCGGUGAAUGCGUUCCCGGGUCUUGUACACACCGCCCGUCACACCACGGGAGUUGGAGACGCCCGAAGCCGAUUAUCUAACCUUUUGGAAGAAGUCGUCGAAGGUGGAAUCAAUAACUGGGGUGAAGUCGUAACAAGGUAGCCGUAUCGGAAGGUGCGGCUGGAUCACCUCCUUUCUAAGGA
rnacentral:rRNA from 1 species